GGGCCCGCACAAGCGGUGGAGUAUGUGGUUUAAUUCGAUGCAACGCGAAGAACCUUACCAGGGCUUGACAUCCUGCGAAUCUCUGGGAAACCGGAGAGUGCCUUCGGGAACGCAGUGACAGGUGGUGCAUGGCUGUCGUCAGCUCGUGUCGUGAGAUGUUGGGUUAAGUCCCGCAACGAGCGCAACCCACGUCUUUAGUUGCCAGCAUUUAGUUGGGCACUCUAGAGAGACCGCCGGUGACAAACCGGAGGAAGGUGUGGAUGACGUCAAGUCAUCAUGCCCCUUACGUCCUGGGCUACACACGUACUACAAUGCUACGGACAAAGAGCAGCUAACUCGCGAGAGUACGCAAAUCUCAUAAACCGUGGCUCAGUUCGGAUAGGAGUCUGCAACUCGACUCCUUGAAGUUGGAAUCGCUAGUAAUCGCGUAUC
rnacentral:rRNA from 1 species